rnacentral:rRNA from 1 species
UGGUAGUGUAUUGGACAACCAUGGCUAUCACGGGUAACGGAGAAUUAGGGUUCGGUUCCGGAGAGGGAGCCUGAGAAACGGCUACCACAUCUAAGGAUAGCAGCAGGCGCGAAAAUUGCCCAAUCCCGACUCGGGGAGGCAGUGACAAGAAAUAACAACCCAGGGAUUAUCCCAGGGAUUGUAAUGAGAAAAAUGUAAAAAUCUUAUCGAGUAUCAACUGGAGGGCAAGUUUUGGUGCCAGCAGCCGCGGUAAUUCCAACUCCAGUAGCGUAUAUUAAAGUUGCUGCAGUUAAAAAGCUCGUAGUUGAAAUUCUGCUCCGGCAGUUCAAUUUCCAAUAGGUUAUCGACACUCCGGGCAUCAGUCUGCAAUCUUUUUCACGGCAUUCAUUUGUCGGGCUAGGGAGCAGACGCUUUACCUUGAGAAAAUUAGAGUGUUCCAGGCAGGCUUCAGCCCGAAUACAUUAGCAUGGAAUAAUAGAAUAGGACUAGAGACUAUUUAUUGGUUUAAGGCUCUAGUAAUGAUUAAUAGGAACAGUCGGGGGCAUUAGUACUUAACAGUCAGAGGUGAAAUUCUAGGAUUUGUUAAAGACUAACUAAUGCGAAAGCAUUUGCCAAGCAUGUUUUCAUUAAUCAAGAACGAAAGUUGGGGGAUCAAAGACGAUUAGA